UACGUAGGGCGCGAGCGUUGUCCGGAUUUAUUGGGCGUAAAGAGCUCGUAGGUGGUUUGUCGCGUUGUUCGUGAAAACUCACAGCUCAACUGUGGGCGUGCGGGCGAUACGGGCAGACUAGAGUACUGUAGGGGAGACUGGAAUUCCUGGUGUAGCGGUGGAAUGCGCAGAUAUCAGGAGGAACACCGGUGGCGAAGGCGGGGUCUCUGGGCAGUAACUGACGCUGGAGGAGCGAAAGCGUGGGGAGCGAACAGG
rnacentral:rRNA from 1 species